rnacentral:rRNA from 1 species
UACAGAGGUCUCAAGCGUUGUUCGGAUUCAUUGGGCGUAAAGGGUGCGUAGGCGGCGCGGUAAGUCAGGUGUGAAAUCUUGGAGCUUAACUCCGAAACUGCAUUCGAUACUGCCGUGCUUGAGGACUGGAGAGGAGACUGGAAUUUACGGUGUAGCGGUGAAAUGCGUAGAUAUCGUAAGGAAGACCAGUGGCGAAGGCGGGUCUCUGGACAGUUCCUGACGCUGAGGCACGAAGGUCAGGGGAGCAAACGGG